UACGUAGGGAGCAAGCGUUAUCCGGAUUUACUGGGUGUAAAGGGCGCGCAGGCGGGCCGGCAAGUUGGAAGUGAAAUCCGGGGGCUUAACCCCCGAACUGCUUUCAAAACUGCUGGUCUUGAGUGAUGGAGAGGCAGGCGGAAUUCCGUGUGUAGCGGUGAAAUGCGUAGAUAUACGGAGGAACACCAGUGGCGAAGGCGGCUUGCUGGACAUUAACUGACGCUGAGGCGCGAAAGCGUGGGGAGCAAACAGG
rnacentral:rRNA from 1 species